rnacentral:rRNA from 1 species
AGUGAACGCUGGCGGUAGGCCUAACACAUGCAAGUCGAACGGCAGCACAGUAAGAGCUUGCUCUUACGGGUGGCGAGUGGCGGACGGGUGAGGAAUACAUCGGAAUCUACUUUUUCGUGGGGGAUAACGUAGGGAAACUUACGCUAAUACCGCAUACGACCUACGGGUGAAAGCAGGGGAUCUUCGGACCUUGCGCGAUUGAAUGAGCCGAUGUCGGAUUAGCUAGUUGGCGGGGUAAAGGCCCACCAAGGCGACGAUCCGUAGCUGGUCUGAGAGGAUGGUAAGCCACACUGGAACGGGGACACGGUCCAGACUCCUACGGGAGGCAGCAGUGGGGAAUAUUGGACAAUGGGCGCAAGCCUGAUCCAGCCAUACCGCGUGGGUGAAGAAGGCCUUCGGGUUGUAAAGCCCUUUUGUUGGGAAAGAAAAGCAGCAGGUUAAUACCCCGCUGUUCUGACGGUACCCAAAGAAUAAGCACCGGCUAACUUCGUG